GGUUGUAGCUCAGUGGUAGAGCCCUUGCCUAGCAUGCCUAAUGCCCUGGGUUCUAUUCCCAACACCA
rnacentral:tRNA from 1 species